GAUACUGGUCCUGUGAGGAGCAGCAGCAGGAUAAUACUGCGCCACCUCUAGGGGCCCUUAACAACAACAACAACAGUUUGGUGUGGUCAUGGGCACCAACACAUGGUGUGUGAUUCUCUUAUACUUUAUCCAUUUAUCUGCGAUGCAGAUUACAUGAAGUACUAUGAAGAUUCUAUGUUCAAUAAAGCCUAGAGAUAA